AGGAUGAACGCUGGCGGCGUGCCUAACACAUGCAAGUCGAACGUCCUGUCUCGCAAGAGGCAGGGAGUGGCGGACGGGUGAGUACCACGUGGGUCAUCUACCGUGAGGUGAGGAAUACCGGCGAGAAAUCGCCGACAAGACCGCAUAGGCUCGAUGCAAGUCGAGCAAAGCUCUUUCGAGAGAGGGAGCGCCACACGAGGAGCCUGCGCCCGAUUAGCUAGCUGGUGGAGUAACGGUUCACCAGGGCGACGAUCGGUAGCUGGUCUGAGAGGACGAUCAGCCACACUGGGAUUGAGAACGGCCCAGACUCCUACGGGGGGCAGCAGUGAGGAAUUUUCGUCAAUGGGGGCAACCCUGAACGAGCAACGCCGCGUGCAGGAGAAGGUUUUCGGAUCGUAAACUGCUUUUCUCGGGGAAGAGAAUGGACGGUACCCGAGGAAUCAGCCCCGGCUAACUACGUGCCAGCAGCCGCGGU
rnacentral:rRNA from 1 species